GAGAGAGAGAGAGAGGAGUGAGAGAGAGAGAGAGAGAGAGGAGAGAGAAAGAGAAGAGAGAGGAGGAGGAGAGACUUAUGAAGUGAAUCAUUGAUUGGUUGCCUGGUGAAUUGUGGGUUUGUUGUGGGCUGAGGGGGGAAGAAGGAGUGUGGAAGAGGGAGAGAGAGAGAGGAGGGGGAGGAGGAGGAGGAGGAGGGAGAGAGAGGGAGAGAGGAGGGGGAGGAAGAGGGAGAGAGAGGGAGAUAAUGAAUGCAUGCAAAUGUCCUAGUGUGUAUAAAGUGACAGAGGAGUUUCUCACAGUAUCUCUCAGCUCCUCAGGUCAGAAACACUGAAGCCAUUUAGUCAUGUAGCUGAUACUCUUACCCCCCUAGCUACAGAUCUAGGAUACUCUUACCCCCUAGCUACAGAUCUAGGAUACUCUUACCCCCUAGCUACAGAUCUAGGAUACUCUUACCCCCCUAGCUACAGAUCUAGGAUACUCUUACCCCCCUAGCUACAGAUCUAGGAUCAGAUACUCUUAUCCCCUAGCUACAGAUCUAGGAUACUCUUACCCCCCUAGCUACAGAUCUAGGAUACUCUUACCCCCUAGCUACAGAUCUAGGAUACUCUUACCCCCCUAGCUACAGAUCUAGGAUACUCUUACCCCCCUAGCUACAGAUCUAGGAUACUCUUACCCCCCUAGCUACAGAUCUAGGAUCAGAUACUCUUACCCCCUAGCUACAGAUCUAGGAUCAGAUACUCUUACCCCCCUAGCUACAGAUCUAGGAUCAGAUACUCUUACCCCCUAGCUACAGAUCUAGGAUACUCUUACCCCCUAGCUACAGAUCUAGGAUAUUCUUACCCCCUAGCUACAGAUCUAGGAUCAGCAUCCUGACCUUAAUCAUUAAGGGGGGGGGGGGGACUACAAAUCAAAUCAAAUUGUAUUGGUCACAUGGUUAGCAGAUGUUAAUGCGAGUGUAGUGAAAUGCUUGUGCUUCUAGUUUCUGACAGUGCAGUAAUAUCUAACAAGUAAUCUACCAAUUCCCCAACAACUACCUAAUAAACACACAUCUAAAGGGGUGAAUGACAACAUGUACAUAUAAAUAUAUGGAUGAGCGAUGGCCGAGCGGCAUAGGCAAGAUGCAGUAGAUGGUAUAGAGUACAGUAUAUACAUAUGAGAUGAGUAAUGUAGGGUAUGAAAACAUUAUUAAAGUGGCGUUAUUUAAAGUGGCUAGUGAAACCUUUAUUAAAGUGGCCAGAGAUUUGAGUCUGUAUGUUGGCAGCAGCCUCUCUGUGCUAGUGAUGGCUGUUUACCAGUCUGAUGGCCUGGAGAUAGAAGCUGUUUAUCAGUCUGAUGGCCUGGAGAUAGAAGCUGUUUAUCAGUCUGAUGGCCUGGAGAUAGAAGCUGUUUAUCAGUCUGAUGGCCUGGAGAUAGAAGCUGUUUAUCAGUCUGAUGGUCUGGAGAUAGAAGCUGUUUAUCAGUCUGAUGGCCUGGAGAUAGAAGCUGUUUAUCAG
rnacentral:lncRNA from 1 species